rnacentral:snoRNA from 1 species
UGUCAUGAUGAACCCCUGAUAGGGACAGCUUAUACCGAUUGGUAAUUGAUGAGAAGCUGGGCACAGUAUUUUAGUAGAUGCUUCGUGUUUCUGACA